GUGUACGACGAAAAGAUAUGAUAAGAAUUGAUUAACCUCCCCCUUGACCAAAGAACCGCUCUCAUGCAUAUAUAUACUACGAACACCAUCAUAGAACACACAAAGCAUCCAUCGACCCAAAAGACAACACCGUCUAAAAGAAAAUGAUUAAUUAGUUAGCUAGUCAUUCGCCAUGGCACAUGCCAGGAACAACACACAGUUUCUGUGCUUGGUCGUAGCUCUUCUCGUCAUGUCGGCCUCCCGGUCAUGCAAUGCCAAGCACACGGAUCCUGAUGUGGGAUCCAAGAGACAGGUGCAUGAUUUUGGCGGGCACAACUGCCAAAACACUUGUGUAAGAAAAAGCAUAGAUACUGACAUAUACUGUGAAUAUAUGUGGGAAUGCAACAAACCGGUGCAUGAUCAUGACCAACGCAAGUGUCGAAACUUCUGUGUAAGCAAAGGCUACGACUACCUCAGGAGCUAUUGUGAGCACCACCCAUACGGAUAUUGCUGUUGCCAUAAGUAAUCUGAAUUUGAUGA